GCCGCGUGCAGGAAGACACCCCUACGGGGCGUAAACUGCUUUUACAAGGGAAGAAGGCACUCCUCUGGAGUGUUUGACGGUACCUUGCGAAUAAGCACCGGCUAACUCCGUGCCAGCAGCCGCGGUAAUACGGAGGGUGCAAGCGUUGUCCGGAAUCACUGGGUGUAAAGGGUGUGUAGGCGGGGCGAUAAGUCAGAGGUGAAAUCCCACGGCCCAACCGUGGAACUGCCUUUGAUACUGUCGUUCUUGAGUCCCGGAGAGGCUAUCGGAAUUCGUGGUGUAGCGGUGAAAUGCGUAGAUAUCACGAGGAACACCAGAGGCGUAGGCGGAUAGCUGGACGGGUACUGACGCUGAGGCACGAAAGCGUGGGGAGCAAACAGGAUUAGAUACCCUGGUAGUCCACGCUGUAAACGAUGGAUGCUCGGUGUUGGCCUUCUUUGUAGGGUCAGCGCCUAAGCUAACGCGUUAAGCAUCCCACCUGGGG
rnacentral:rRNA from 1 species